rnacentral:lncRNA from 1 species
GACUAAACAGCAGAACAUAGCCCCAUAUGAUAAAAUUUACUGUGUCACCAUGAAACAUAUCAAUAUCCCUCAGCAAACAUGUAAACUUUACUAGUCGAUAACAUACUUUAAAAUAAAUAUAACAAUCCGUUGAUGACUAAAGCAGUAUUACUAUUUUCGACAUACAUGAUGCACUGGACAACCUUAAUAAAACUUACUUCUAAAGCUUCGUCAAGAAGAAUGUAAAAAUGGAAGAUUCACUGAAAUUC